rnacentral:rRNA from 1 species
UACAGAGGUCCCAAGCGUUGUUCGGAUUCAUUGGGCGUAAAGGGUGCGUAGGUGGCGCUGUAAGUCGGGUGUGAAAUUUCGGAGCUUAACUCCGAAACUGCAUUCGAUACUGCGGUGCUUGAGGACUGGAGAGGAGACUGGAAUUCAUGGUGUAGCGGUGAAAUGCGCAGAUAUCAGGAGGAACACCGGUGGCGAAGGCGGCUCACUGGCCCGGUACUGACGCUGAGGUGCGAAAGCGUGGGGAGCAAACAGG